GUUGAACGCUGGCGGCAUGCCUUACACAUGCAAGUCGAACGGCAGCACGGGAGCUUGCUCCUGGUGGCGAGUGGCGAACGGGUGAGUAAUACAUCGGAACGUACCCUGAAGUGGGGGAUAACGUAGCGAAAGUUACGCUAAUACCGCAUAUUCUGUGAGCAGGAAAGAGGGGGGAUCGCAAGACCUCUUGCUUUAGGAGCGGCCGAUGUCGGAUUAGCUAGUUGGUGAGGUAAAGGCUCACCAAGGCGACGAUCCGUAGCGGGUCUGAGAGGAUGAUCCGCCACACUGGGACUGAGACACGGCCCAGACUCCUACGGGAGGCAGCAGUGGGGAAUUUUGGACAAUGGGCGCAAGCCUGAUCCAGCCAUGCCGCGUGAGUGAAGAAGGCC
rnacentral:rRNA from 1 species